ACGGAGGUUCCGAAAAUCCAAGAAAGAGUAGGAA
rnacentral:ncRNA from 1 species